rnacentral:rRNA from 1 species
UACGUAGGGAGCGAGCGUUAUCCGGAUUUAUUGGGCGUAAAGAGCUCGUAGGUGGCUUUUCAAGUCGGGUGUGAAAUCUCGGAGCUUAACUUCGAGCCUGCAUCCGAUACUGGACGGCUAGAGUCUGGUAGGGGGACCUGGAAUUCCUGGUGUAGCGGUGGAAUGCGCAGAUAUCAGGAGGAACACCGGUGGCGAAGGCGGGGUCCUGGGCCAGUACUGACACUGAGGAGCGAAAGCGUGGGUAGCAAACAGG